rnacentral:rRNA from 1 species
UACGUAGGGGGCAAGCGUUGUCCGGAUUUAUUGGGCGUAAAGAGCGUGUAGGCGGCCAUGUAGGUCCGUUGUGAAAACUCGAGGCUCAACCUCGAGACGUCGGCGGAAACCAUCUGGCUAGAGUCCGGAAGAGGAGAGUGGAAUUCCUGGUGUAGCGGUGAAAUGCGCAGAUAUCAGGAAGAACACCCGUGGCGAAGGCGGCUCUCUGGGACGGUACUGACGCUGAGACGCGAAAGCGUGGGGAGCGAACAGG